CAGCAGCCACGGGAAUACGUAGGGGGCAAGCGUUAUCCGGAAUAACUGGGCGUAAAGGGUGCGCAGGUGGUUUAACAAGUUAGUGGUGAAAGGCAUAGGCUCAACCAAUGUAAGCCAUUAAAACUGUUUAACUUGAGUGCAGGAGGGGAAAGUGGAAUUCCUAGUGUAGCGGUGAAAUGCGUAGAUAUUAGGAGGAAUACCAGUGGCGAAGGCGACUCUCUGGUCUGUAACUGACGCUGAGGAGCGAAAGCGUGGGGAGCGAACAGGAUUAGAUACCCGCGUAGUCCCUGUCUCUUAUACA
rnacentral:rRNA from 1 species